GACGAACGCUGGCGGCGUGCUUAACACAUGCAAGACGAACGAUGAAGCCGGAGCUUGCUCUGGUGAAUUGGUGGCGAACGGGUGAGCAACACGUGAGUAACCUGCCCUUGACUCUGGGAUAACUGCUAGAAAUGGUAGCUAAUACCGGAUACGACCCUCGGAGGCAUCUCCAGGGGGUGGAAAGAAUUUCGGUCAAGGAUGGACUCGCGGCCUAUCAGCUAGUUGGUGAGGUAACGGCUCACCAAGGCGACGACGGGUAGCCGGCCUGAGAGGGUGACCGGCCACACUGGGACUGAGACACGGCCCAGACUCCUACGGGAGGCAGCAGUGGGGAAUAUUGCACAAUGGGCGCAAGCCUGAUGCAGCAACGCCGCGUGUGGGAUGACGGCCUUCGGGUUGUAAACCUCUUUUAGUAGGGAAGAAGCGAAAGUGACGGUACCUGCAGAAAAAGCACCGGCUAACUACGUGCCAGCCGCCGCCGUAA
rnacentral:rRNA from 1 species